rnacentral:rRNA from 1 species
UUCGCAAUGCCCGAAAGGGUGACGAAGCGACGCCGCGUGUGGGAAGAAGGCCUUCGGGUUGUAAACCACUGUCGGGAGUUAAGAAGUGUAGGGGCGUUAAGAGCAUCCUUACUUGACGUUAGCUCCGGAGGAAGCCACGGCUAACUCUGUGCCAGCAGCCGCGGUAAUACAGAGGUGGCAAGCGUUGUUCGGAAUUAUUGGGCGUAAAGAGCACGUAGGCGGCUCUGCAAGUCAGCUGUGAAAGCCUUCUGCUUAACGGAAGAACAGCAGUUGAUACUACAGGGCUUGAGUGCGGGAGGGGAGAGUGGAACUUCUGGUGGAGCGGUGAAAUGCGUAGAUAUCAGAAGGAACGCCGGCGGCGAAAGCGACUCUCUGGUCCGUAACUGACGCUGAGUGUGCGAAAGCUAGGGGAGCAAACGGGAUUAGAUACCCCGGUAGUCCUAGCCGUAAAC